AUGCCUGAGUCAGAGACCUGCAACUCAGACCAGAAGCUUUUAGCUGCUAUGUGUAAAAAUGGACCAAAGAAAGACAGGAGAGGAAGUGGGAACCAGACAACAAAUAAAAUAUUCCUGCAAUUGUGCCCAGAGUCUGUGAAGCAGAACAACUUCUACAAAGGUCCACAAGCAGUGAUUUCAGAGACCUCGGCAGCAGGAGCCACCAGCAGUCUGCACAAGAAGCACCACACUUUGGGCCCUGACACUGAAUCUUUCUAGGAAUCUUGCCACAACAAAUCCAAAAUGCCAUCAAAAGUAACCUCUCUUGGUUUUGCAUGGCAGGGACACAACAUUGCAGAUCAGCUAAGUGCUCCUGGAGCUGUGGGAUUGGACUCAGUGAGGAAAUGAAAAAUGGAGGAGACUUUUUCCAGGGGACUCAACAUGACCAACUCACAGGGCACAUUUCUUCAAGGGUUGCACCCCAGUAAAGCCAGUCACAGCCACUUUGAGACAAAAGGGUCCCACAGUUCUGUGACACCAUCCUGACAGGAUGUUUGAGGACCUGCAGUGUCAUAUCCAAUGCUCAUCAAGUAACAGGCUCUGGGUCAUGUGUUCCUCAGAAACUCACACAGCCUAGUCCUUGCAGAAGACAACUGAGCCAGUAUCUUGCUGUCUUGGUCUACUUAAGACAAGGGGUUCAGUGACCCUCAGCUAUAAUACUUGUGCUUUUCAGAGUGAGAAGAAGGGGAGAAGGGAGAGAGAUCAGUAGAUUUUUUUUCACCUUUCUUAUGCUGCUAAUUCAUUAUGACCAGACAACUUCUGUGUCAAAAGAACAAAACACCAUGUGUGUCAGGGGCCAAUGCCACUAAAAGAUUUCCCCUGCCGGCAUUUCUCUAAUAGUGGGGAUAUGAGGAAGCUGCAAGGAAGCAUUGGUAGGCCACCUUCUAUCCCCUGCCAAUCCAGGCUGUGUUGCUGCUGAAUGUAGGCUCUGAGAAGGAUGGAUUCUCCAUGUUCACUGUGCCUAAAUUGGCUGUCAUUCUAGAUGCUGGGCUGAGCCAAGGUGUGUUUCAGCAAAGUAACCCCCAGAUACCACCUCAAAGCAAGUUUGUUUUCUCCCCAGGCAGGAGCUGUGUCUUACUCAUCUUCCUGCCCUUUGUCUUGUGCACACAUCAUUCCCAGCAUGUAGGAAACCCUCAGUAAAUGAUUGUAGAACCAACAUUUUGGAACUUGCAAUUGAGAGCCAUUAUGACACAGCCACUAAACACAUUGCAAAUAUCCAGGCACACUGUAGAUGGAAUGUUGUCCUUGUUCCGUAACUCUGUAUUGCCUCUGUAGCCUGAUACACUUGUGUCCAUCUGCUUUUCUAAAUUUUCCACUUAGCUUUGAAAUUCAACUUUAAAAAAAGAGUUAGUUACUAAAGUAUCACUUCUCCUGUUUUUUGGAAGACGGAAUGUGAGAGCCAGCCUUGCUAACUUAGUGAAAGAUCCUGUCUUGAAAUAAUGUUUAAAAAGGGCUGGGGGUGCAGAUCAGUGGUAGAGAACUUGCCUGGCAUGUGUGAGACUCUAGCUUCCAUCUACACUACAGCAACAAAAAGGACAACAAUGACAAUGACAACAACAACAACAACAACAACAACAAGCUUGGAUUUCAUAAUCACUUUCAAUAUCACUUGCCCAAAUCUAAGAGGGCAGAGGCACCUGGAGACAGCCCCUGUCACUAUAGGUGUGUCCUGCUGUUUGUCUGGAUGUGCCCCUUAGCGAGGCAACCAUGCUCGAUUUUGUGCUGAACAGAAACUUUAAAAGAGCCGGUACUAUAAAAUUCUAGUUUAGAGGGGGAAAAAUUGACAACAUAAAGGAAGAUCUGAUAGAGUAUGAUGCUCUGUCACUCAUGAGAAACGGUGGUCCAUUUAACACUUUCCACCUUUAUCAAGACUCGCUGUGCCACUUGUGUUUGGCCGGACAAUGGCUGAAUCUGGAGCCCUGUAUAUUUACAUGUGUGUGCAGGAGGGUCAUGGUGUGUGUGAGGACAGAGGCAAGGUGUGUACUAACACACUGCAGGUCUGGUUGUCUUGGACCUUUCAUAAUAAGCGGACAUUCCCAUAGUUUGAGAUCAGUUGAGUUUUUCCAAUAAUGUUACUCUCCCAGGAAAGAAAAACAAGGGGCC
ensembl:lincRNA